AGUGAACGCUGGCGGCAGGCCUAACACAUGCAAGUCGAACGGAAACACAGUAAGCGUUUGCCCUUACGGGUGGCGAGUGGCGGACGGGUGAGGAAUAGAUAGGAUUCUACUUUUUCGUGGGGGAUAACGUAAGGAAACAUACACUAAUACCGCAUAUGAUCUACCGGUGAAAGCAGGAGUGCUUGGGAGCUUUGCCGUCUGAAUGAGCCGAUGCCGGAUUAGCUAGUUGGCGUGGUAAGGGCCCACCAAGGCGACGAUGCGUAGCCGGCCUGAGAGGAUGAUCAGCCACACUGGAACUGAGACACGGUCCAGACUCCUACGGGAGGCAGCAGUAGGGAAUAUUGCGCAAUGGGCGCAAGCCUGAUGCAGCCAUACCGCGUGAGUGAAGAAGGCCUUCGGAUUGUAAAACCCUGUUGUUAGGAAAGAAAAGCUGCGUAAUUAUCCCCGCAUGUUCUGACGGUACCCAAAGAGAAAGCACCGGCUAACUUCGUG
rnacentral:rRNA from 1 species